rnacentral:piRNA from 1 species
CAUCACUUUCAAGAGUUAACU